rnacentral:lncRNA from 1 species
AAGGGGUUUUUAAAGAAAAAAUGAAAAAGACUCCCCCUCACUAUAGCAAUCAUAAAGGACAUUUCAAUUUGCUCAUAUAGAAGAUAUUGCCAUUCAUAAUAUUUCAUAGCACAUAUAUGAGGUAUUUUUUAUAUCAUAUAAUUAAGAUAUUUUAAUUGAUGUCAUUUAUAAAAAUCAAUCAAAAUGACAUUCAUAGAAGUUAAAAGUAUAUAUAUAUAUAUCCAAAAUAUG